ACCAGCUGCUGCUAUGAGCAGGUUGAGUAUGAGGUUGAGUCCUCAGUGUCUCUGCUGAAAUUAUUGCUGUCUUUCACAGCUUUAAUGCUUCUAUUGCAGAGUCCCGGAGGAGCCUGCCUCAAAGAGAAACUUGAGAAUGGAUUUUGCUGUAGCCUUGGUGGACUUCUCCCCCUGAAACCAUGGCCAGGCAUGGUAAUGAAAGCCUACGUGGGAAUGGUGCUUCUUCAGAAGCCAAAAAGCAGACCAUCCCAGCUGACAUCAGAAACAUCAAUGCACAGAAGAGGCAGCACUGAUUCCUUGUGA
rnacentral:lncRNA from 1 species